rnacentral:rRNA from 1 species
AUGACCGCCAUCGCCAUGUCGGGAGAUCCGCUCGCGCACCACCGCCCGAGCUUUCUCGUCGAGGAGAAGGAGGAGGGAGCGGCCGGCGAGGCGGAGCGCUACGUCUCGGACUCCGACGACGACGACGACGUCGACCGCUUCGUGUUCCUCGCGCGCCAGCCCGCGCCGGCCGAGGCGACCGAGGAUGGUGAUGGAGACGCGAUGCCGCCGCGCGGGGGAGGAGGCGGCGGGCGGAAGAGGCGUCUCCGGGAGAUGCUACUGGCCGACGAUCCUCCAGCGGUGGAGCGAGGAGCCUCCUCGACCGGGGAGGAGUCUGGGAGCGAGGAGCCGAUGUGUUCCCCGGAGCGGGGAGGUUUUGAUCUGGGGAAGAAGAACAAGAAGCGUCGCGGUCACGGCGUGGAGCCGAAGGAACAGCGCGCCGUGCGUGGCGUGGGGCCGCAGCAUCGGGACGUGACGGCAGAGCUGAAGACGCCGGUGGCGGCGGCGGCGGCGGCGGCUCCCAGGCGCUUCCCGUGCAGCAUGUGCGGGAGGUGCUUCGGCAGCCACCAGGCGCUCGGCGGGCACGUGCACUUCGGCCACAGGAAGAAGGCCAAGGACACGAUCGCCGCGGCAGCGAGUCCGGAGGACGCUGCCGGUGGUGGCAAUGGUGAUCGCGGCGUGAAGUUGGCCACGGUGGGCCAAGAGGCUGCCGAUGGCAAUGCCGCUCACGGCGAGGACAAGGCCACGGUAGGGAACAAGACGGUGGACUUUGCCGCACAUCAUCAGGACGUCGACACCAGAAGCUUCCACGGGCGCAAUGUGAGCAACAUCAACGAGGAGAUGUUCGCCGGCGCAGCAAACCACGGUGGUCACGGCGGCGAUGGAGUUGUCGAGGAGGCCGCCGGCAAUGGCAGCUUGGCGGUCGCUGUUGGAAGGCCCCACGGCAAAGUACACAGGUGCGAGGUGUGCGGCAAGGAGUGCCUCUCAGGGCAGGCGCUCGGCGGGCACAUGAGGAAGCACCGGAAGCAGUCACCGCCCGACGGCGGCAAGGAGCGACGGAGAUCGCCGGAGCUGGACUGGAUACCCACUCAGAGACCUGCGGUGACCACAGGGGGACAACCUCAGCGAGAGCGCGAAUUGGGCUGGAUUUGA